CUGAGCAUGAGGCCAAAUUGAGCCAAACUGGGCCAGGCUUUGGAGUCCACAUGCUUCUGCCUGAGCCCUGCCUCUGCUCCUUACCACCUUGGUAACUCUGGGAAAAUUACUUAGCCUCUCUAAGUCUGUGAAAAAGACGCUCAGCUGCCAAAAGGGAGUUCUCAAGGGUUUCUGUCUCAGAGGGGAAUGUUAGGCUCAACUGACAUAACUGAUAUGCAAAUGUGUUGAAAGCUGUUGGGUGUUGCACAUGUUAAGAAAAUUAUUCCAGUCUCAAGUUCAAAGUGAAAGGGCUCUAAGUCAUUUCCUGCAUCCUUGGAUCUGGUGAGAGAUGGGGAGGUGGAGGAGAGACUUAUCCAAAUAGAUAAGGUUCCUCUUGUUUAACAUGGCUGAGUCACACACUCACUCAUCCAUGUACGGUCAUUGAUUCAUUCGUUCAGUCUACAACUAUUGAGUCCUUGCUACAUACCAGACACUUUUCUAGGUUCUGGGGGCAAAUAUGAAGAUAGGGAGACUCCAAUGGAUGGAAUUUCUAUAAUUCAAGCAAGAGAUGAUGAUGUCCAGAGAUAAUGACAGCACACAAAGGAAUGAAGACUGAAGAAAAGUACACAGAGUUAAUUGAUAUACGGGAAGUUGAAGGAACAGGAUAAGGUUUUUUGGAUAAGGGAAGAAGAAUCUGGCAAGAGAAAAGAUAGAGUCAAGCACAAAUCCCAUUUUCUGGCUUGAGCCAAGAGGUAGAUAAUGGUGCCAAACACAGAGUUGGGGACCCUGGAAGAGGAGCAGUUUGAGCAGGAAACAUGGGGAUAACACGAUCAAGUCUGCAUUUUCAAGAGAUUACCCUGGGAACAUUGUGGAAACUGGAUUGAAGAAAGAAACUGGUUAGAGCUUUUGUGUGAGAGCAUCAGUACAUUUCCUGAUGAUUUCUUCACUUGCUGUAGAGAUCCAAGACUGGAAGAGAACCAGGCUUGUAGUCUAUUCGAUCAUUAACCCUUGCUAAGUCUUUGUGCACCUACGUUUUACAGAUUUCAGCGUAAAAGGAAUUUCACCAUAGCCUUACUUUCCUCAGUAUAUUCCGCAAGGAUGCAAUAAGAAGUCGGUAUAACACGUUGGAAAGUAUUCAGUGGGCUUUAUGGAGAGUUAUUUUUCAUGCACAGUAGGAAAGGGUCUUUGGUAGAAUCAAGCUGAGAGACAGAAACCUUAUUAGCAUAAGAGUUCAUCUAAGUUUGAUCAUGGAAAGCCAACACUGUUAGCGAGAGAAAGGUUUGUCUGGUAGAGGCAAUACCUGAAGUCUCUGAAAGAUCUAAAUCAAUUCUCCUAUGAGAGAGACUGCAGAUCUGCCAGUGCCCUUCCAGGAAAGAGUGAAAAACCACAAUCAGUAUGGUCUUCAGAACCUUGAAAAGUCUUCAAACUCCAAUGUGUGUUUUGCGCUUAACCAUAUCUCAAUUUGGACUAGUUACGUUUCAAAUGCUCAAUAGCCACAUGUGGCUACCAUAUUGGACAGUACAGUUCUCGACUGUGUUGUCUUAAUCAUCUCAUGAAAGUAAUUAAGUGCUCUGAGAAUUCAUCACUCUCCAGAACCUCUGAUUCCUUAACAGCAAAAUUGCCCCACACCUAGGAUGUUAUCAGAAGACCAGGCAGCCGACAACAUUUUAUAAACUGGACUGGGCCAACUGAUGCUCAGAAUGUCGUCUCCACCCCAGCCCAGCUGGCAACGGCCCCACCUUGAGUGGUCAACAGCAGAGCUAUGCUCACUGCUUCCCAGAGCCCACAACCAAGGACUAACUGCUGUUCAAUCUGGAUCCUUAAAGAAUAGUCAAAGAGAACUUUCCUGCCAGCUUCAUGUGCUGUUUCAGCUGCACUUUGUGCACCUAAUGCUGCUUCUCACAGAAUUACCCUCCACUGUCCAGAGUCUCCACAACUAUCUCAGAGAUGAAAGGCUUUGUGACCCGUGCUACCUGUUGUCAACUACCACAGGGGCCCAGUUCUGUCCUGCCACAGUCCCUUGAUGAAGGCUGAGAGUAAGAAUGGAAAAGAAUAAAGGCAGUGGAAGAGAAAGAGAAACCCCCUUCUCCUAAAAUGAAAAUGAGACUGGAUGUGGGAUGUCACAGUAAACUGUGGCCCCCUACCUUUGUCCUUCCCUUUCUAGUCCCAAACAAUAAACAACAACUAAGAAUGGGGUAUGCAAAGCUCUUUGUCUAAUUCCAAAGUUUGCUUGACACCUUCCUGCCUCUUCUUAACCUCCUUUUGUGAGUUAAGACUUUGUUGAACUAGAGCCACCCUAGCAAGAGGAGCUUAAAGCUAUAUUUGCCAGCAAAACACCUUCAGCUGUCAUCUAUGGAAUCAUGUGCUUUAGCAGGAAAUAGCAGAAUGCCGAGUUAGCAUAACAAAAUCCAUUCCCAGUGAUCUGUAAACGGAUUCACCACUUUGAAGAACUUUCCUGCUGACCCCAGUAUUUCCUCUUUUCCUGCCAUCGAGCCAGAUUCCAGGACUUGCAGGAGCAGCAAGAGUGCCAGCACCAAAGAGCAGAGACUCCUGGAGGCCAUGCCAAGUGGACUCCUGAUGGGCAACACGGACACUCGAUAUGAAAGUAAAGAUCUGAUUGGCAUCCUCUUCUUGACGUGCUGUAUGUUCUGGAUAACAGUCCAGAAGCAAAACUACAAAACUGCUUUCAUUCAGAUUAACCAGUUAAAUGUAAUGGAUGAUGCUGUUUUGCUAAACUAAAACAUUGAUGUUGGUUUAAUAACAGAAAAAUGUAUUUGUGAGGUUGUUUGGACUUUUUUUCUUGUUGGCCUAUUUUAUUUUUGUUUUUGAGCAUGGUGA
rnacentral:lncRNA from 1 species